CCUACGGGAGGCAGCAGUGGGGAAUAUUGGGCAAUGGGCGCAAGCCUGACCCAGCAACGCCGCGUGAAGGAAGAAGGCUUUCGGGUUGUAAACUUCUUUUCUCAGGGACGAAGCAAGUGACGGUACCUGAGUAAUAAGCCACGGCUAACUACGUGCCAGCAGCCGCGGUAAUACGUAGGUGGCAAGCGUUAUCCGGAUUUACUGGGUGUACAGGGCGUGUAGGCGGGACUGCAAGUCAGAUGUGAAAGCCAGGGGCUCAACCUGUGGACUGCAUUGGAAACUGUAGUUCUUGAGUACUGGAGAGGCAGACGGAAGUCCUAGUGUAGCGGUGAAAUGCGUAGAUAUUAGGAGGAACACCAGUGGCGAAGGCGGUCUGCUGGACAGCAACUGACGCUGAGGCGCGAAAGCGUGGGGAGCAAACAGGAUUAGAUACCCUAGUAGUC
rnacentral:rRNA from 1 species